rnacentral:rRNA from 1 species
GAUGAACGCUGGCGGCAGGCUUAACACAUGCAAGUCGAGCGGAGAUGAGGUGCUUGCACCUUAUCUUAGCGGCGGACGGGUGAGUAAUGCUUAGGAAUCUGCCUAUUAGUGGGGGACAACAUUCCGAAAGGAAUGCUAACACCGCAUACGCCCUACGGGGGAAAGCAGGGGAUCUUCGGACCUUGCGCUAAUAGAUGAGCCUAAGUCGGAUUAGCUAGUUGGUGGGGUAAAGGCCUACCAAGGCGACGAUCUGUAGCGGGUCUGAGAGGAUGAACCGCCACACUGGGAAUGAGACACGGCGCCGACUCCGACGGGAGGCAGCAGGGGGGAAGAUUGGACAAUGGGCGGAAGCCUGAUCCAGCCAUGCCGCGUGUGUGAAGAAGGCCUUUUGGUUGUAAAGCACUUUAAGCGAGGAGGAGGCUACCUGGAUUAAUACUCUAGGAUAGUGGACGUUACUCGCAGAAUAAGCACCGGCUAACUCUGUGCCAGCCGCCGCGGUAAGAC